rnacentral:rRNA from 1 species
CGCCCCCCUUUUUNUUAAUGCCAUAACGGAGGAGAAAGGGAAAAGGGAAAAAAAGGAAACUAACAAGGAUUCCCCUAGUAACGGCGAGUGAAGUGGGAAAAGCUCAACUUUAAAAUCUGGCACCUUCGGUGUCCGAGUUGUAGUCUCGAGAAGUGUUUUCCGUGCUGGACUAUGUAUGAGUCUGUUGGAAUACAGCGUCAUAGAGGGUGAGAACCCCGUUCAUGACAUAGCUCCUAGUGCUCUGUGAUACACUUUCGAUGAGUCGAGUUGUUUGGGAAUGCAGCUCAAAUUGGGUGGUAAAUUCCAUCUAAAGCUAAAUAUUGGCGAGAGACCGAUAGCAAACAAGUACCGUGAGGGAAAGAUGAAAAGCACUUUGGAAAGAGAGUUAACAGUACGUGAAAUUGUUGAAAGGGAAACGCUUGAAGUCAGACGUGCGUGGUGCGAUUCAGCUCUGGUUCGCCAGAGUGUAUUUCGUGCCUUUGCAGGCUAGCAUCGGUUUCGCGAGCCGGAUAAAGGUUUGGAGAACGUGGCACCCUCGGGUGUGUUAUAGCUCCUUGCUGAAUACGGAUUGUGGGACCGAGGAACGCAGCGCGCCGCAGGCAAAGGGUUCGCCCUUUUCGCGCUUAGGAUGCUGGUGAAAUGGCUUUAAACGACCCGUCUUGAACCGGG